rnacentral:rRNA from 1 species
CUAUACAUGCAAGUCGAGCGGACAGAUGGGAGCUUGCUCCCUGAUGUUAGCGGCGGACGGGUGAGUAACACGUGGGUAACCUGCCUGUAAGACUGGGAUAACUCCGGGAAACCGGGGCUAAUACCGGAUGGUUGUUUGAACCGCAUGGUUCAGACAUAAAAGGUGGCUUCGGCUACCACUUACAGAUGGACCCGCGGCGCAUUAGCUAGUUGGUGAGGUAACGGCUCACCAAGGCAACGAUGCGUAGCCGACCUGAGAGGGUGAUCGGCCACACUGGGACUGAGACACGGCCCAGACUCCUACGGGAGGCAGCAGUAGGGAAUCUUCCGCAAUGGACGAAAGUCUGACGGAGCAACGCCGCGUGAGUGAUGAAGGUUUUCGGAUCGUAAAGCUCUGUUGUUAGGGAAGAACAAGUGCCGUUCAAAUAGGGCGGCACCUUGACGGUACCUAACCAGAAAGCCACGGCUAACUACGUGCCAGCAGCCGCGGUAAUACGUAGGUGGCAAGCGUUGUCCGGAAUUAUUGGGCGUAAAGGGCUCGCAGGCGGUUUCUUAAGUCUGAUGUGAAAGCCCCCGGCUCAACCGGGGAGGGUCAUUGGAAACUGGGGAACUUGAGUGCAGAAGAGGAGAGUGGAAUUCCACGUGUAGCGGUGAAAUGCGUAGAGAUGUGGAGGAACACCAGUGGCGAAGGCGACUCUCUGGU